CGGGGUGCACAGGCGCGAAAACUUUACAAUGCGGGAAACCGUGAUAAGGGGACACCGAGUGCCAGCAUCAUAUGCUGGCUGUCCAGGUGUGUAAAAUACACCUGUCAGCAAGGGCCGGGCAAGACCGGUGCCAGCCGCCGCGGUAACACCGGCGGCCCGAGUGGUGAUCGUGAUUAUUGGGUCUAAAGGGUCCGUAGCCGGUUUGGUCAGUCCUCCGGGAAAUCUGACGGCUCAACCGUUAGGCUUUCGGGGGAUACUGCCAGGCUUGGAACCGGGAGAGGUAAGAGGUACUACAGGGGUAGGAGUGAAAUCUUGUAAUCCCUGUGGGACCACCUGUGGCGAAGGCGUCUUACCAGAACGGGUUCGACGGUGAGGGACGAAAGCUGGGGGCACGAACCGGAUUAGAUACCCGGGUAGUCCCAGCCGUAAACGAUGCUCGCUAGGUGUCAGGCAUGGCGCGACCGUGUCUGGUGCCGCAGGGAAGCCGUGAAGCGAGCCACCUGGGAAGUACGGCCGCAAGGCUGAAACUUAAAGGAAUUGGCGGGGGAGCACAAGGGCGAAUCGC
rnacentral:rRNA from 1 species